rnacentral:rRNA from 1 species
GUAGGUGGCAAGCGUUGUCCGGAAUUAUUGGGCGUAAAGCGCGCGCAGGCGGUUCUUUAAGUCUGAUGUGAGAGCCCACGGCUCAACCGUGGAGGGUCAUUGGAAACUGGAGAACUUGAGUACAGAAGAGGAAAGCGGAAUUCCACGUGUAGCGGUGAAAUGCGUAGAGAUGUGGAGGAACACCAGUGGCGAAGGCGGCUUUCUGGUCUGUAACUGACGCUGAGGCGCGAAAGCGUGGGGGAGCAAACAGGAUCAGAUACCCUGGUAGUCCACGCCGUAAACGAUGAGUGCUAAGUGCUAGGGGGUUUCCCGCCCCUUAGUGCUGCAGCUAACGCAUUAAGCACUCCGCCUGGGAGUACGGCCGCAAGGCUG